rnacentral:rRNA from 1 species
UACGUAAGGUGCAAGCGUUAAUCGGAAUUACUGGGCGUAAAGCGUGCGCAGGCGGUUGUGCAAGACAGAUGUGAAAUCCCCGGGCUCAACCUGGGAACUGCAUUUGUGACUGCACAGCUAGAGUACGGUAGAGGGGGAUGGAAUUCCGCGUGUAGCAGUGAAAUGCGUAGAUAUGCGGAGGAACACCGAUGGCGAAGGCAAUCCCCUGGACCUGUACUGACGCUCAUGCACGAAAGCGUGGGGAGCAAACAGGAUUAGAUACCCUGGUAGUCCACGCCCUAAACGAUGUCAACUGGUUGUUGGAAGGGUUCCCUUUCAGUAACGAAGCUAACGCGUGAAGUUGACCGCCUGGGGAGUACGGCCGCAAGGUUGAA